CUGGUUGAUCCUGCCAGUAGUCAUAUGCUUGUCUCAAAGACUAAGCCAUGCAUGUCUAAGUAUAAAUAACUACACAGUAAAACUGCGAAUGGCUCAUUAAAACAGUUAUAGUUUAUUUGAUACAUAAAAUGGAUAACUGUAGAAAAACUAGAGCUAAUACAUGCCAAGACCGCAAGGUCGUAUUUAUUAGAUAUACCAAGCAGGUGAAUCAUAAUAACUUCGCAAAUCGUGGCCACGCCGCGAUAAAUCAUUCAAGUUUCUGCCCUAUCAUGCUUCCGAUGGUAGUGUAUUGGGCUACCAUGGCUCUCACGGGUAACGGGGAAUUAGGGUUCGAUUCCGGAGAAGGAGCCUGAGAAACGGCUACUACAUCUAAGGAAGGCAGCAGGCGCGUAAAUUACCCAAUCCUGACUCAGGGAGGUAGUGACAAGAUAUAACGACGCGACUAAAAAUCGCGAUUGUAGUGAGGGUAUUCCAAACCGAACCACUAGUACAAUUGGAGGGCAAGUCUGGU
rnacentral:rRNA from 1 species